GAUGAACGCUGGCGGCGUGCCUAAUACAUGCAAGUCGAGCGAACAGACGAGGAGCUUGCUCCUCUGACGUUAGCGGCGGACGGGUGAGUAACACGUGGAUAACCUACCUAUAAGACUGGGAUAACUUCGGGAAACCGGAGCUAAUACCGGAUAAUAUAUUGAACCGCAUGGUUCAAUAGUGAAAGACGGUUUUGCUGUCACUUAUAGAUGGAUCCGCGCCGCAUUAGCUAGUUGGUAAGGUAACGGCUUACCAAGGCAACGAUGCGUAGCCGACCUGAGAGGGUGAUCGGCCACCCUGGAACUGAGACACGGUCCAGACUCCUACGGGAGGCAGCAGUAGGGAAUCUUCCGCAAUGGGCGAAAGCCUGACGGAGCAACGCCGCGUGAGUGAUGAAGGUCUUCGGCUCGUAAAACUCUGUUAUUAGGGAAGAACAAAUGUGUAAGUAACUAUGCACGUCUUGACGGUACCUAAUCAGAAAGCCACGGCUAACUCCGUG
rnacentral:rRNA from 1 species